GACGAACGCUGGCGGCGUGCUUAACACAUGCAAGUCGAACGGAAAGGCCCUGCUUGCAGGGUACUCGAGUGGCGAACGGGUGAGUAACACGUGGGUGAUCUGCCCUGCACUUCGGGAUAAGCCUGGGAAACUGGGUCUAAUACCGGAUAGGAGCCAUUUUUAGUGUGAUGGUUGGAAAGUUUUUUUGGUGUAGGAUGAGCUGGCGGCCUAUCAGCUUGUUGGUGGGGUAAUGGCCUACCAAGGCGGCGACGGGUAGCCGGCCUGAGAGGGUGGACGGCCACAUUGGGACUGAGAUACGGCCCAGACUGCUACGGGAGGCAGCAGUGGGGAAUCUUGCACAAUGGGCGCAAGCCUGAUGCAGCGACGCCGCGUGGGGGAUGACGGCCUUCGGGUUGUAGAAUACUUUCGCUAGGGACGAAGCUUUUUGUGACGGUACCUAGAUAAGAAGCACCGGCUAACUACGUG
rnacentral:rRNA from 1 species